rnacentral:rRNA from 1 species
UCAGUAGCGGCGAGCGAAGCGGCAACAGCUCAAAUUUGAAAUCUGGCCUCGGCCCGAGUUGUAAUUUGUAGAGGAUGCUUUUGGCACGGCUCCUUCUGAGUCCACUGGAACGUGGCGCCAGAGAGGGUGAGAGCCCCGUAUAGUCGGAAGCCUAGCCUGUGUAAAGCUCCUUCGACGAGUCGAGUAGUUUGGGAAUGCUGCUCUAAAUGGGAGGUAAAUGUCUUCUAAAGCUAAAUACCGGCCAGAGACCGAUAGCGCACAAGUAGAGUGAUCGAAAGAUGAAAAGCACUUUGAAAAGAGGGUUAAAUAGCACGUGAAAUUGUUGAAAGGGAAGCGCUUGUGACCAGACUUGUGCCGGGCUGAUCAUCCAGUGUUCUCACUGGUGCACUCUGCCCGGUUCAGGCCAGCAUCGGUUCUGAUGGGGGGAUAAAGGCCGCGGGAACGUAGCUCCUCCGGGAGUGUUAUAGCCCGUGGUGUAAUACCUUCGUCGGGACCGAGGACCGCGCUCUGCAAGGAUGCUGGCGUAAUGGUCAUCAGCGACCCGUCUUGAAACACGGACCAAGGAGUCGAGGUUUUGCGCGAGUGUUUGGGUGUAAAACCCGCACGCGUAAUGAAAGUGAACGCUGGUGAGAGCUUCGGCGCAUCAUCGACCGAUCCUGAUGUAUUCGGAUG